rnacentral:lncRNA from 1 species
GAAACAGAAAGUUGAGAAUGUUUCCGUUGGUUCUAGACUCGGGAAAAGAGAGUUUUAGCUCUGGAGAACUGGGAUUUCCUCAAGUUUUAUGGAGAAAUCCCAGUUUUUGGUCAAUGCUCUCAUUAACAGACCUGAGAUUGCAUAGAGCUUAAAGCUUUUCUUGAGCAGAUGAUCACACGAAUAAAAACAGCAAGAUUAGGACUAAAAUUGUUAACCUAGCCUUCUUCGUGAGAAUGAUUUGGAUGAUUUUGUUUGCUUUGCUAGUUAUGUUAGCAACUCAAGCUUGGCUUUGACAAAUGAAGCAGAUGAAAGUGUUUGGGCUUUAAGCUUUUCAUGACCACCCCGCCGGAGAUUGAAUUCAUGGCUUCUCUUCUUCUGUUGGCUCUGCUACUAACAUGGUAGUAGAGCUUUCGACUGUCAGGCAUGGCGUCAGUACCGCAAAGAGAGGCUGCCCCCCCCUUGAAGUUGAAUAUGACUCAUCGGAAGCUCUUCGAUGCCAGUCUUCACAUCAAAAUUGCUAGUUUAACUCAUCAAAAUUGUUAUUUGUAUCUCUAACAGUUUAAUAUUUUUAUUUAUUUUUAUUUAAUUAGAUAAUAAUAAAAAUGAAAAUUUAUAAAAUUAAAUAUUUGAUUGAAAGUGUAAUAACUUUAUAAAAUAAUAAAUUAUAAUAACAAAAAAAAAUUGCUAUGAUGAAGAGUCACCAUAAUAUUUUUCAAUUCUAAAGAGAGCAGUAUAUAAUUCUUGAAGGGACAGUAUGAAAACGACAAUAAUAAUUAAAGAUUUUUGUGAAAAUUAAAUUUAUUAUAUAUGCUGUUGGUUCUGUUUUAUUUAUAAAAAAAAUAUAUUUAAAUAUUUAAAGGAGUUAUUUGAAAAAAAAAUAUAGGCCCACGAGGGGUGGGCUGGUUUAAAUUUCUGGCGUUAUCGUACGAUUACACGCGAAAAUCUACCAAGCUCGGGCGGACGGAAGAUUUGAUGUUGAUUACAGAUCCGACCCUGUAUAAAUUAACUUCUAUCGUGAAGAGCCCUAGUCAUUGUAAACACAACUUUCAAUUUCAAUAGAAAGGAGGAAGUCAGUCAAUACGGGUGUCUGCAGCUAUGGAUUCGAUCAAGCCUUUAGCCCCGAGCCGCCGCGUUUCCAAGUCCAAACACAGGAAACAAUGGGUACGAAUCAAAUCUAGUUAUAUUUCUAUGUUUUUCUUAAAAAAAAGAUUAUUCUUAAUGCUUGUUUCUUGACUGGUUGUUGCUGUAUAUCAUGUCAUUAUCCCCAGAAAUUAAAAAUAAUAGUUGUUCUUAUACAUGUUUAGAAGAACAGAGAGAGGAGGGAAACAAUGGAACGAUUGAAAACAGAUAUGAUCGAGAUCGGUGAGGGACAACAACGCAUCAGAGAAGGGCAACGAGAAAUAAGACAAAAGUUUGAAGAGAUAGGAUCUGAAUGCCGCAGGCUCAAAGAGGAGACGAUGAACAUUGCCAAGCAGAGUGAUUACAACCAAAUCAAGAUAAACCUAAUGUUUAGCAUCUUGAAAGCCCGUGAGGACAACAACUUUGCCCAUGCUGAUCACCUUACUGGGCUCCUCCGGUUGGUUAAAUUCUCUUCGCCAUUUCUUUUCUUAAUUCUUGGGAUUCCGGAUUUCAUAAUUAAUCUUGCUAAUGCUAGCUAUUACUAGCAGGGAAACAUAAGUUAACGAACUCAAAAUAAAAGAAUCAAAAUGCACUGUUGAUAAUUAUUUUUCUCUCCAUUGUUCGUUGUGUUGCCAGCGAGGAAAUGGAAAAGAAGGAACAAGGAAAGGCAGGCCCAGUUGGCUGACUAAUGAUCAUGGAGAACAACGAGCAGUUUGCCUUUGCAGUCACUCCUGAUCGUCUUUUCUUAUUAAAAUGAAACCAUCAAAUUUAUUCAAGUUUUUUUAAUUUGAAUUUUUUUAAUUUAAUUCUUUAUGAGAUUUGUGUUUUUUUUUUUUUUUCAUUCCUUUCUGUGAGUUUAACAAGAUCUUAAAUCUUGGGUCAUUAAUGUUAUGUGAGAAAUGCCUAGAACAUGUGUAGGUCGGCUAAUGCUGCCUACAAAUAGCAAUGUUUCUGAAUCUACGCAGGUGUGCUAGUGGAGACAAAAACACCUAUUCUGAAAAGAGUGCAGUAUGUUCUGGUAGUUUUAAAAAGAAUCAGAUAAAUAGUUGAGAAAUUUAAUAUUUUAAAGUUGUUUUUAUGGGAAACAUGAUAUUUCAAAAAUAUAUUUUUUAAAUGACUUCACAAUUUACACGUGAGAGAAAAAUAGAAGAAAGAGAAAAUAAAGAUUUUAAAUAUAAACCAAAACUUUCGUUACUCGAUAUCAUAAUUUUUUUUUUUACAAUCUAAUAAUAUUAAAAAAAGUUAUAAUUACAUCAAGUAAGCAAUUAUAAUUAAAGAUAGAAAAAAAAAUUUCUAAAAUUUUCAAAAGUGAUAAGUGACUUACUUGUUUUUGAAUAAAAAAUGUAAUCCAUUUCAAUUACUAUUGAUAUUGAUGAUAUUUUUUUAUGUUAAUAAAUUCAUUUAAUCAAAACCUUUUUUAGGACCUGAGAAUAUUAUAAUCAAAGAUUCAGUAUGUCUCUGACGUUUUUGUUCUCUUUUUCUCUUUUUCCUCAUUGUUAUUUGUGCAACACAUUUAAUUUGUUUUUUGAAAUGUUAUAUUUUUUCUAGAACAAUAAAUGUCAAUUGUGAUAUAUAUAUAUAAACUUUGUUAUUUCAUCAAUUAUCUUUCAAGUCAUGUUAUUUUAUUAUUUUUUUACUAUGACAUGCAUUAAAUGUGCUAUUUCAUUAAGAGUUCUUUUUUUUUUCUUUUCAAAAUGUGUUAUUUUACUAUUUGUUUUUUUUAUUAAAAAAAACUAUGUUAAUUAGUGAGUGUUUGUUUUCUACCAUCUAUAUUUUAAAUUGCUUUUCAUACAAAAAAAACAUUCAAUUAAUGCUUUUCAACUAGAAUUAAUAAAUGCUUUUCAAUGAGAACUAUAACAUGUAUCAAAUGUGCUAUUUCAUUAAUAGUUUAAUUUUUUCAAAAUCUGUUAUUUUGCUAUAUAUUUUUUAAAAAAAUUACGUUAAUUAGCUAGUGAGUGUUUGUUUUUGCAUUUCAAUUUAUUUUUUAAAUUGCUUUUCAUAAAAAAAAAGCAUUAAAUUAAUACUUUUAAAUGUUUUUGGAUAGUUUUAUAUAUUGAUAUAAAUAAUAAAUAAAUAAAAUUAUUUUAAAAUAUUUUCAAUUAAAAAACACUGCACAACAUAAUACCAAAUACACAAUUAAUUUAUAUCAUAAUUAAUGUUCGCAUCCGCCCAAUUCUCUUUGUGGACAAAUAAAAUCUAUUCUAUUAAUGCAUGUAAAGUUAAUGAAUAUACAGUUACAAAAUGGUUUUCUCAGAAUUAUAAAAACAUGCCCCACGGUUCAAUUAUAAAGCAUGUCGACUUUUCUGGCGCUGCUCUUCGACAAUCAACGUUUUUGAAGGAAAACUUGGUGAAAUCUAGGGUUAAGAUUAAAAAAGAUGGACGGGAAGAUUAAGAUGAAGAUGAUGAUGAAGUACAACAAUCAGAUUAGCGAGAAGAACAAGCAUGAAAGUUCUGGAUGGAGAAAUUAAUAUCGUAAUUUAAUAAGAAGUUCCAGUUUUCCAGACUGCAACAGUAGAAAUGACAAGAACACCUGCUAAGAAGGCCAGUAAUCUGUCGUGAAUUGAGGAAAUUCAUGGAUAGUGGCAGCGAGAUUUAGCAUGAAGCGUUUAGCUUGUUUUCUCUAUUGUAAUUCAUGUCGCUAGAGGUAAUAGAAUUGCACUUGUCUUGCCAGCAUUUAUAGAGAUAUGACUUUGUUGAAAGGGAAAAUCGCUGAGUCAACAUUGUUGGGGACUCCAAAGGGAAUACAUGAUGGUUUAACAGUUAAUCUUUGGUCAUCAAUGCAAUUAGUUCAGGUUUGGGUUUGGAAGAUGUUCGAUGAACAGCAGCGGCCCGAGCCUAAUCUGAUGAAGAGUGGGUACCCUAGGUUGGCUCGGUGGAACAAUGAAACAGAAAGUUGAGAAUGUUUCGUUGGGUUUAGACUCGGAUAAAGAGAGUUUUAGCUCUGGAAAACUGGGAUUUCCUCAAGUUUUAUGGAAAAAAACAAAUGUGGGCGACUGUUGGUUCUAGUUUGAAUGACGAAUUAAUGGCAUUUGUUCGAUGCGUCUGGGUUUCAAUGUUCUGUGGAGUUGGCUGUUCAGAACAGUAUUUACCGCAUAGGGUUGCAAUGCAAUUCGGAACCGACGAAGAUCUUUCAGGGUUGUGUUGGUCAGUGCUCUAAUUAACAGACCUGAGAUUGCAGAGAGCUUAAAGCUUUUGUUGAAGAGCUUGAGCAGAUGAUCACACGAAUAAAAGCAGCAAGAUUAAGACUAAAAUUGUUAACCUAGCUAGCCUUCUUCGUGAGAAUGAUUUGCUUGAUUUUAUGUUAUUUGAAUUCAUGGGUUCUCUGCUGCUGUUGGCUAUGCUACUAACAUGGCAGUAAGCAUUGCAGCAGGUUCCUAAUUAAUGGAUAACUCCCACCAUUUACAACAGAUGCAGAACAAGGUUAAAAGGAUAAUAGAAAUAAAUAUAUUCAUAAAGUAACCCAGUGUGCAGACAAAUGCCGUGUGCUGCUGGACCCAACGCAGAGCCUACUAGGUGUUAUCUGUUCUGCCCACCCAAUCCUGACUAGAUAAGCACUUGAGAGUUUUUUUUCUUAUUUUAUGAAGUUGAUUUGAAGUGUUGAUUUGAUAUAAAAAAAUUUAAGGAAGAGAUAUUUUCCUUUAAUAUUAAGACCAAUUUGAUAUUUGUAGUUUAUCCUACUAAACAUAGGAUUUGUAUUUUUAUUUAAUAAUUUUAUUUUUAAAAAUUAUUUUUUAUUUGUUUAUAUAAUAGUUUAAAUAAAAGCAAUGAAAACUAGCAGAAUUCAGCAUUUAUUAAAUUGAUUCAGAUAACUUUAUAAAUAUCAAAUCCAAGCAUGAUAACUAAUUUAAAAUCAAUUAAAUAUUAAAAGAGUUUUUUUAAUAUUAAAACAAUGAUAUAUUAAAUCAUCCUAAACUUUACGGUUUAAUUUGUAAAACUCAUAAUUUAAACCAUGAACUCCACUUGAAAAAUUAAAGUUGUUACAAUCAUCAAGGACAAACAACAAUAAUAAUUCAGGAUUUUUACUGAAAGUAGAAUCCAUCAUACAUGUUGUUGAUUAUUGAGUUAUAAUCGGUCCGUACAUGAAAAUGAAUGAAUUUAGUACAGUUAUUAAACUCAGUCGACCCGGUGGAUAGAUUGGUCUGGGUUUGUUAAAAGACUAGUCGGUGCAAUAAUCCAGCAAAACCCAGUCGAUCCAUGACCUGGAUAAAACCCGAUAUUUUUUUUUUCAAAUAUAAUUUUUCUUCUAUACUCCUUUUUGUUUAUUUAUUUUUAGUUGGUUAUUAACACUUUUUAAAGUUCACUAUAUAAAUACUAGAAAAAUAUUUUAUUUUUUCAAUGUAGGAUUGAAACCUUUUAUAAUAUACUCUAUGUUCCUAAUAAAAAAGUUAUAUUUUUAAUGUAAGAUUUCAAGCCUUUUCAUAUAUAUACUUUAUGUUCAUUAGAAAAAAAAAGUAAUGUUUUUUCAAAGUGAGAUUUAAAAUCCUUUAGUAUAUAUACUUUAUGUUCCCAAGAAAAAAGUUGUUUUUUCAAUAUGUGAUUUGAAGUCAUUUCGUAUGUAUACUUUAUAUUCACAAGAAAAAUAUUAUGUAUUUUCAAUGCUAGUAACAAGUUUUUUGGUUUAAAUACUUCAACUUAAAAGGAUGACAUAAUAUAUUUUCAAUAUGAGAUUUGAAACUCUUUAAUAUACAUACCUAUAUUUCCAAGAAAAAAAAUAUUUUUUUAAUUUUGAAGUUUUUUCAUAUAUAUAUUCUAUCUUCACAACAAAAAAAUUAUGUGUUUUUUAAUGUGAGAUUUGAAAAUUUUAUUAUACUCUAUGAUCUUCCCAGAAAAAAAAUGUUUUGGAUUAAUCUAAUUAACCUGUCUACCUUCGGAGCUGAUUUAAUAACUUUGGGAUGGAAGGAAUAUCUAAAAUAGUCUUAGAGCAACUCACAUUUGUUUGCUAUCGAUUUGAAAGGAGAAAGUUGCUCUCUUGUAAUGUCUGCUUUUAAAAUCAAAAGAAUCUAACAUUAAAUGUGGGGUAUUGUUGCCGUUUCAUAUUUUUAUUUUCUGUUUUCUAAAAAUAAAAACAUUUUUUUUUUCAUAAUUUUCAGUUUUUUUCAUUUUGUUUUAAUGACUCAAGUUAGAGUAUUUGAGUUUUCAAAAUGUAUUUUAUUCAGAAAAAUAUGUAAAUAAUAUAUUUUUUUAUUUUUUAAAAAAUAUUUUUAACAUCAACCCAUCAAAAUAAUUUGAAAACAUUAAAAAUAUAUUAAUUUAAAAUUAAAAAAAAAUAAUUCUUUUUAAAAAACUUUUAAAACACACUGACAAACAUGUUAUCACCACCUUUAUUUUCCCAUAUUUAGAAGUUAUUUUCAAAAACAGAAACCCAAGAUACAAAACGGCAACCAUGACCAUGCCAGGGCUUAAACAAAAGCUCUACAAGACCAAUCCACGAGAGUUAAACUCCAUUUAAUCAAGAUUUGAAUGUGCUGGGCAAUGAAAGCCCACGAUUAUAUAUAUAUAUAUAAAAAAAAAAAAUCAAAGAGAGUGGAAUGCUUGACUAUAACUGGAAAACCAAGCCUAGUCCAAUAAAUCCAUGUAAAAAUCCGAUAAUUCAGAACCUAGAUUAAUUGCUAGCUCAGUUGAUGAUCAUGAUUUAUGACCUAAUCAAUUUAAUUACAUUAAUGCUGACCAUGAUUUAGUCAAGAUUUAUCCUAGUUAAAAGAAAAAAGAAAUUCCAUAAAAUCUUAACCUGAUAAUCGAGGUCAUUUUCUUCGAGCAAGCAACGAAUCUCAAACAAAGAAAAAAAAAAACACUAGGUGAAAUCAUCAGUCCUCAACCUAGAUAUGUGGUGGCAUUCGUCUUCCCUUAAUAUCCUUCUUCCUUUGAUGAAGUUUUCAUUUGAUUAAGGAUUUACGUUCUCUGUUCCGAGUUGAAUGUUUUGAGUGACAGUACAUACUAGGUGAAUUGCCCGGCGAUGCCACCGGUUGUUAUAUAAACACGAUGUAAGCAUUCGGUUGAGUAUAACCGGCGGUAAUCGAAGAAGAAGACAGGUAGACAGAAUUAAACAAAAUGAAACAAAAAAAUACCAGAAGUAUUGAGGUUAAACAAUGCAACCACAUGCUUUAUGUUAGAGAAACGUAAAGUCUUAACUAGCUUGUUUAGAUUUGCAGUAUUCGGUUGUUUUUUUAUUUUAAAUUUAUUUUUAAUAUUAACAUAUUAAUUUUAAAAUAAAAAAAUUAAUUAAAAAAUCAUUUUUUUACCAAAAAAUAGUGUGGCUUUAAUAACAAACAGUCUGGAAAAAUCUCAAAUACAAAGCCAUAUGUGCAUAUAAUAAAUAGUAAUUAAUUUGAGGGUAUUAUUAAAUUAAUCAGGUUCUUAGUUUGCUUUCAAAAGGUUAUUAGUUCAAGUUCUGUAAAUUUUAAAAUUAUUAGAGGUUUAUUUGGUCGUUACUUUUAGGACCUGGAUUUCUAGGAAUUAGUUUUAAAAUUUUUAGGAAUUAGUCAAGUUACACAAAAACUACUCGAAUAUUCAUAAUUAUUAAAAUAAUAAUAAUAUAAUAAUAAUAAUAAUAAUAAUAAUAAAUAAAUAAAGAAAAAAAGAGCUCCAGACUUUUUGACCGUGCAUUCUCAUUUCACUUUGAAUUCUAGUGAAAUUGUUAUUUUCUUUUGGAAAACCAAAAAUUGUUUAACUUUGUCUCAGGUGUAGAAAGGUGUUUUCAAUGGGAUAGGGACAAGUUAGUAACAGAUCAAUUCAGAUCAUUAUGAAUAUUCGAGUGUUAGUUUUUGCAAUAUGUAUUUUAAAUUGCUUUUCAUAAAAAAAUAAUAUUAAAUUAAUAUUUUUAAAUGUUUUUGGAUGGUUUUAUAUAUUGAUAUAAAUAAUAAAUAAAAAAUUAUUAAAUUUUUUUUAAUUAAAAAACACUAUACAACAAAACACCAUAUACACAAUUAAUUUAUAUCAUAAUUAAUAUUCGCAUCCGCCCAAUUCUAUGUGGACAGAUAAAAUCUAUUUUAUUAAUGCAUGUAAAGGUAAUCAAUACAGUUACAAAAUGGUUUUCUCAGUAUUCUCAAAACGAGUCCCAUGGUUCAAUUGUAAAGCAUAUCUACUUUUCUGGCGCUGCUCUUCGACAAUCAACGUUUUUCAAGGAAAAAUGGUGAAAUCUAGGGUUAAGAUUAAAAAUGAAGAUGGAAGGGAAGAUAAGGAUGAAGAUGAAGAUGAAGCACAACAAUCAGAUUAGCGAGAAGAACAAGCAUGAAAGUUCUGGACGGAGAAAUUAAUAUCGUAUUGUAAUGAGAAGUUCCAGUUUUCCAGACUGCAACAGUAGAAACGACAAGGACACCUGCUACGAAGGCCAGUAAUCUGUCGUGAAUGACGAAAUUCAUGGAUAUUGGCAGCGAGAUUUGGCAUGAAGCGUUUAGCUUGUUUUCUCUUAUUGUAAUUCAUGUCGCUAGAGGUAAUAGAAUUGCACUUGCACCUGCUGUUCUUGCCAGCAUUUAUAGAGAUAUGACUUUGUUGAAAGGGAAAAUCGCAGAGUCAACCUUGUUGCGGAUUCCAAAGGGAAAACAUGAUGGUUUAACAGUUGAGCUUUGGUCAUCAAUGCAAUUAGUUCAGGUUGGGGUUUGGAAGAGGUUCGGUGAACUGCGGUGGCCGGAGCCUAAUCUUAUGAGGAGUGGCUACCCUAGGUUGGCUCGGUGGAACAUUGAAACAGAAAGUUGAGAAUGUUUCGUUGGGUCUAGACUCGGAUAAAGAGAGUUUUAGCUCUGGAGAACUGGGAUUUCCUCAAGUUUUAUGGAGAAAUCCCAGUUUUUGGUCAAUGCUCUAAUUAACAGACCUGAGAUUGCAUAGAGCUUAAAGCUUUUCUUGAGCAGAUGAUCACACGAAUAAAAACAGCAAGAUUAGGACUAAAAUUGGUAACCUAGCCUUCUUCGUGAGAAUGAUUUGGUUGAUUUUCUUUGCUUUGCUAGCUAUGUUAAUUAGCAACUCAAGCUUGGCUUUGACAAAUGAAGCAGAUGAAAGUGUUUGGGCUUUAAGCUUUUCAUGACCAACCACUUUUGGCCGGAGAUUGAAUUCAUGGCUUCUCUUCUUCUGUUGGCUCUGCUACUAACAUGGUAGUAGAGCUUUCGACUGUCAGGCAUGGCGUCACUACCGCCAAAGAGAGGCUGCCCCCCCUUGAAGUUGAAUAUGACUCAUCGGAAGCUCUUCGAUGCCAGUCCUCACAUCUUAAUGUACAGUCAAAUGAGGUGUGCUGGACCCAACGCACAGUCUACUAGGCUUUAUCUGUUCUGCCCACCAAUUCUGAC